ensembl:lncRNA
GUUUAGUGGUUAGAGUGUUGGACUAGUCACCGAAAGGUUGCACCGAAAGGUUGAACUUCCAUAGCCUAUAGGGCAAUGCAGUAGGUCUAUAACUUCCAUAGCCUAUAGGCCAAUGCAGUAGGUCUAUAACUUCCAUAGCCUAUAGGCCAAUGCGGUAGGUCUAUAACUUCCAUAGCCUGUAGGCCAAUGAGGUAGGUCUAUAACUUCCAUAGCCUGUAGGCCAAUGAGGUAGGUCUAUAACUUCCAUAGCCUAUAGGCCAAUGAGGUAGGUCUAUAACUUCCAUAGCCUGUAGGCCAAUGCAGUAGGUCUAUAACUUCCAUAGCCUGUAGGCCAAUGCAGUAGGUCUAUAACUUCCAUAGCCUGUAGG